rnacentral:lncRNA from 1 species
GCGGAGCUCCGCUUGGCCGACGCCCGCGAUGUGCCGCACAUCUACAGCCUCAUCCACCAGAUGGCCGAGUUCGAGCUCCUCACCGACCUCUUCGCCGCCACCGAGGAGCUCCUCACCUCCACGCUCUUCCCCUCGCCGGCGCCGCCUCCCUUCACCUCCUUCACGGCUCUCGUCCUCGACCUCUCCCCGUCCCCCGUGGUCCCGGACUCGUCUUCCACCAUCGGAUCCCUCCGCCUCGACCUCUCCGCGUCCCCGCUCGCGGACCCGGAGGCUGCAGCCUUCGCCUCCCCGCGCGGCGGCGGGCGCGUCACGGCGGGGUUCGUGAUCUGCUUCCCCAACUACUCCUCCUUCCUCUCCAAGCCCGGGCUGUACGUGGAGGACAUCUUCGUGCGCGCCCCCUGGCGCCGCCGCGGCCUCGGCCGGAUGAUGCUGUCUUCCGUCGCCGGCAGGGCGGCGGAGCUCGGGAUGGGGCGGGUGGAGUGGUGCGUGCUCGACUGGAACAAGAACGCCAUCGACUUCUACGAGGGGAUGGGCGCCGAUGUCCUCCCGCAGUGGCGCAUCUGCAGGCUCACCGGCGCGGCGCUGGACAAGUACAAGGGCAACCAAGAGGCGGCCGCCGAUGGGAAGGCUGUCGAGUAGGAGGAUCAGAAAAAUUGGUUCUUGAGUGCCAAUAAUAAAGGUGGUGGAUUUGCUUCCCCUGCUUAGCUCUCCCUCCUGGCAUCGUAUGGUUAGUGGUUCGGUGCAUUUGAUCUGCUCAUUAGUGUGAUGAAUCCAUGUUGUAUGCUGAGCAAUUCUGACUUGUUGUGGUAAACCUUGGUACAUUAUGCAAAAUUAUCUUCAGAUUAGAUGCAAGUCUUUAUCAUUAGCCAUUUCAGGCUGAGCAUGUCUCUUCACUGCGAUCAGAGUCUCAGAGCUGGUUGAAAUACUUGAAAUUAAUUUAUCCCUGUAUGAUGUUUGACUAGGGCCCCGUUUUCUUCCACUGACUUAUUUUUAGCACCCGUCACAUCGAAUGUUUAGAUACUAAUUAGGAGUAUUAAACGUAGACUAUUUACAAAAUCCAUUACAUAAGACGAAUCUAAACGGCGAGACGAAUCUAUUAAGCCUAAUUAGUCCAUGAUUUGACAAUGUGUUGCUAUAGUAAAUAUUUGCUAAUGAUGGAUUAAUUAGGCUUAAUUAGGUUUAAUAGAUUCGUCUCGCCGUUUAGAUUCCACUUAUGUAAUGGGUUUUGUAAAUAGUCUAUGUUUAAUACUCCUAAUUAGUAUCUAAACAUUCGAUGUGACACGUGCUAAAAAUAAGACAGUGAAGAAAACGCCACCUAGGGGAAAUUCCAUGAUCUAUUUGAAUAACUCAUCAACUGGAUAAAAGAACUUGGAAUGUUCCUGCUCGUAUUGCUCCCUCAUUUCAUAAGGCAAUCCCUACUUGUGUGUUGGCUUGUUCAGCUCUCUUCUCUCACAUAGAGAGGAGCGGGUAUGUGAAACAGACAGUAUUCUUGCAUAUAAUUGUAACGUAAAUGAAUUAUUACAAAGAAAUAUUAAAUGGAACGACUAGAAAGACCAAACAUCUGCUUCAAUGGCAAAAUAGCAGUAUGAAGAUACCGAACUUUGUAGGAAUACAAAAGUUCAGUACAAACACCUCCUACGAGCAUUGAAUUAGUCAUAACACUGAUUUUCACGCUGAAUUCCAUAGAAUUUGAUCAAAUUCAGUUCAUCCAUAUAAAAGACAAAUCUACACUUCCAAUUAUUAAUGAGAGAAUUUGAUAUUUUUUCUUAUUCUUGGAGUUUAUAACUUUUCAUUUGUUUUAUCGAACUUUUAUAUUGAAGUGAGGUAUUAACACUUCAAGCAUCUUAUACCAACCCCUGUGCAUGCCCUGAACUAGUCAGAGGCAUUGUUCUUCAGGAAACUAAAUUCUACUUCCACUUUUUUUUUAUCAUUCCAGUCAACAGUCUGCUGCAUUAGUUAUUAUUGUAUCUUUGACCUAUGCUAUGAUUUUCCAUAUUAGAAACAAGAUUGAUAUAUUUGCUCGCGUCAACAACAUUUUUAAGGCGGCAUAUUUGAAUUGGUGGAACUCAAACACAACCAGCUUUUAUUUUUUUAAAAACAACAUUUUUAUACUUUGGAAAAUUAGUCUAGUGGCAUACACAGGGGCCCUGCCUUUACCAGUCGCCCCGUCACAAAAGCAGAGGACAGGCCAACCCCCACUUCUUGACCAAGAUGGCGGCGCCGGCCAACUCCAGCACCUUCUCCGGCGACAUGUGGGCGGAGCUCCGCCUGGCCGACGCCCGCGAUGUGCCGCACAUCUACAGCCUCAUCCACCAGAUGGCCGAGUUCGAGCUCCUCACCGACCUUUUCACCGCCACCGAGGAGCUCCUCACCUCCACGCUCUUCCCCUCGCCGACGCCACCUCCCUUCACCUCCUUCACGGCUCUCGUCCUCGACCUCUCCCCCUCCCCCGUGGUCCCGGACUCGU